GUGCCAGCAGCCGCGGUAAUACGAAGGGGGCUAGCGUUGCUCGGAUUUACUGGGCGUAAAGGGCGCGUAGGCGGAUUUCUAAGUCGGGGGUGAAAGCCCAGGGCUCAACCCUGGAAUUGCCUUCGAUACUGGAAGUCUUGAGUACGGGAGAGGUGAGUGGAACUCCGAGUGUAGAGGUGAAAUUCGUAGAUAUUCGGAAGAACACCAGUGGCGAAGGCGACUCACUGGCCCGUUACUGACGCUGAGGCGCGAAAGCGUGGGGAGCAAACAGGAUUAGAUACCCCUGUAGUCC
rnacentral:rRNA from 1 species